rnacentral:rRNA from 1 species
CGUGUAGGCGGAUUCGGAAGUCGGGUGUGAAAGCCCUGGGCUUAACCCAGGAAGUGCGCCCGAAACCACGAGUCUUGAGGUCCGGAGGGGAUCGGGGAAUUCCCAGUGUAGAGGUGAAAUUCGUAGAUAUUGGGAAGAACACCGGUGGCGAAGGCGCCGAUCUGGACGGAUUCUGACGCUGAGACGCGAAAGCGUGGGUAGCAAACA